CAAAGCGAUCUGGGGAGGUGGUUCACUUACCAUUCCUGCAAGGUGCCAAGCACUGCCCCUUGCCCAUGAACAUCAGCCCUGUGAGACUUCAGUAAAGACUUAGAUUCUUAAAAAGGCUUUAUCACUGCAUGUCCCUAAACCACCAACUGCGAGGAGGGCAAGUAUAGAGUUAAGACUCAUUCUGUAACCACCAACUUACUCUCUUGCUCUAAGCAUCCCUACGGGGCAUGCCAGGGCAGGCUGCAUGGACGUUUGGGCUGACCUAUUACAGCUGAGCCAAGUCUGGCUCUCAGCUGUACGCUGUAACGGGCAGCUAAGGACCUGGCCAGCAUUACCGCAUGUUCUUACAGCCUUUAUACCGCAGCCAGCUUGCUUCAACUUGGGCGGUUCUCGUGCCUGCAGCAAAGCCAGCUUUUGCUGGAGAUUGCAGCAGUCCAAUAAUGUGAUAUUGCUCCCGGUGCUACCUCAUACAUUAACGUGGGAAGUAUACGCAUGUGUGGAAACUGGAUCCUACCAGCUUCCCAAACAGUGCAAUUGCUGGCUUCCACAUGCCAGACUGCAGCCCAUGCGAGGUUGUUGUGGUUGGGUAACGAGUACCCUGAAAGACUUCGCUAUGCCAGCAUCCGAAAGCAACUGCUAAUGAUAGAUUACUUAGGAGAUUUACAAGUUAGGGUUUGUGUCGCUGUUCAGAGAGGCCUGGGUCCAAGCGUGGCGCUGGGAGCUAGAACCGCUGGGCUGUUCUCCCUCCAGUCACCUUCCCCGCAUCGUGCAGCCCUCAUUAACAGUGCUAACGCAGGCAGCUUCACACGGACGCCGACCUGAGGCCUGCAGCUGCUGAAGCAUUUCAUGGGUUUAAACCACACAGCGUUGCGUCACUUCAGUUAGAUGCUGUUGUCAAAUGAUGCUUGUGCUCUACUGACCUACGAUAACUGGGUGUCAAGAUCCAGAAUUUUAAGCGUGUGCCUUCCUUGGGCACCUGCUGCUCGCGUGGGUGCUGUUCAGAAGCUCAGCUGUGGCCCAGGGCAAGCUGCUGCGGUGCUGAGUGUUGUAGAGCCACGCGUUGCCCCCGCACCUUGCGCAGCACCAGAGGUUGGGUGCCUGCAUAGCUGAGAAAGCAAAGGUGCCCCUCCGGCCCCACAUGCACAGAGAAGCAACGGAACUGGAAUCUAAACAGUAAAGCAGCAAAAGCCAAGCUGCGUUGGAUGCAAUUAGAACAUAGCCCAAUCUCAAAGCAUUAGUUGGCUCUCUUUUUUGGAGAUAGGAAGAACACAGCGAUUGCCAGAUGGACAACGUGAGAAACCCAUUACUGUCCUAUCUAUAGCAAGUUAGCAUCUACUGGCGAGACAUACAUCCCCCCGCCCCUUCCCACACCCUUCUCUCAGCGCUUGUUUACUCUGGCUUCACUACCCUGCUCCUCCUUUCCUAAGAACGUUUGUUCUGAAUUUCUUCCGGCCCGUGAGGCAGGGGAGGGUUUUAUUCCCACAGAACUGCAGCUGUGCAUGUGAAUCACACUGGAGUCGCUCUGCGUGAGUACGUGUGUGUGCGUGUGUGUGUGUGUGUGUGUGUGUGUGCGUGUGUGUGUCCAUCCGUCUCCUCCUCGAAGCUACAGAGACGGGAGGGUACGCCGCAGGCGUGCACAAUGAAGCAGGAGACGGGCUGCAGAGCCGCGCUUGGUCCAGGCACAGCCAGGCUGGCCUGGGCGGGCUGGCUGCGAGCAAAGCCGGAGGAAGCAGCAGCAGCCACGUCUACUGCUGAACUGUGAACACACUUUGCAGGGCGGCUGUUGAAAGAUGACAUUGCAUGGACAUGCUGCAGAUUCUGCCCAACAACUCUCCGUACAGUGGCUUGAUUGCAGAUAACGCUGUGGUCGUGAAACAUUUCCUCACUGCAACUGUUCAGACUGAUUGCAGGCUGCUGAGUGCUGCUCUGGCUGCGGGAAAGGAUCUGUGCAAAAGCCUGGUCACUGAGCGGCAGGCCAGAGGAGGCCAAAGGGAAACAGGAUAAGCUGGUGUGCUAAAAUUUCUCACUAAUUGCCUUGCUAUUCCCUUAAUAAACUUGUUUGAUGGGA